GUUGUUGUGGCCGAGUGGUUAAGGCUAUGGACUUGAAAUCCUUUUUUGGUUUCUCUGCAAAUGUUCAAAUCCUGCCAAUAAUG